rnacentral:rRNA from 1 species
UACGUAGGUGGCGAGCGUUGUCCGGAAUUAUUGGGCGUAAAGAGCGCGCAGGUGGUUGAUUAAGUCUGAUGUGAAAGCCCACGGCUUAACCGUGGAGGGUCAUUGGAAACUGGUCGACUUGAGUGCAGAAGAGGGAAGUGGAAUUCCAUGUGUAGCGGUGAAAUGCGUAGAGAUAUGGAGGAACACCGGUGGCGAAGGCGGCUUCCUGGUCUGUAACUGACACUGAGGCGCGAAAGCGUGGGGAGCAAACAGGAUUAGAUACCCU